rnacentral:rRNA from 2 species
UGUGGUGGCGAUAGCGAGAAGGAUACACCUGUAACCAUGCCGAACACAGAAGUUAAGCUUCUUAGCGCCGAUUGUAGUGAGGGGUUGCCCCUUGU